rnacentral:rRNA from 1 species
UAGGGAAUCUUCGGCAAUGGACGAAAGUCUGACCGAGCAACGCCGCGCGAGUGAAGAAGGUUUUCGGAUCGUAAAACUCUGUUGUUAGAGAAGAACAAGGACGUUAGUAACUGAACGUCCCCUGACGGUAUCUAACCAGAAAGCCACGGCUAACUACGUGCCAGCAGCCGCGGUAAUACGUAGGUGGCAAGCGUUGUCCGGAUUUAUUGGGCGUAAAGCGAGCGCAGGCGGUUUCUUAAGUCUGAUGUGAAAGCCCCCGGCUCAACCGGGGAGGGUCAUUGGAAACUGGGAGACUUGAGUGCAGAAGAGGAGAGUGGAAUUCCAUGUGUAGCGGUGAAAUGCGUAGAUAUAUGGAGGAACACCAGUGGCGAAGGCGGCUCUCUGGUCUGUAACUGACGCUGAGGCGCGAAAGCGUGGGGAGCAAACAGG